CAUGGCCUGCAGGUGUGUGGUGACCCAGGCUGUGGAGGGUGGCUGCCACACUCACUGCUCCAGCCACUCACAGCUGUACCUCAGGAGCCAGACACCAUCUGCUUCACUCCUGCCCAGACUUUGCCACUCACACCCAACAGCUGCUUCAUCUUAAGGUGUGUGGUGACCCAGGCUGUGGAGGGUGGCUGCCACACUCACUGCUCCAGCCACUCACAGCUGUACCUCAGGAGCCAGACACCAUCUGCUUCACUCCUGCCCAGACUUUGCCACUCACACCCAACAGCUGCUUCAUCUUAAGGGUUGUGAGCCCCAUGCUAUUGAGUCUCUCCUCGUAAGUCCGAUCCCUAAGUUCCGGUACCAUCUUAGUUGCCAUUCUCUGUACUCUUUCCAGCUUUUUUAUAUUCUUCUUUUCGUGAGGAGACCAGACCACUGCUGCAUACUCCAACCUUGGCCUUAUCAUUGUAACUAUUAAUUUCUUCAUCAUCUCCUCGUCCAAAUACACAAAUGCCGUCCUUAUGUUCCUCAGCAAAUUCAUAGUUUGUCCCGUUAUCCUGUUGAUGUGUUUGUCCGGUGACAUGUUCUCUGAGACAGUCACUCCCAAAUCUUUUUCUUCCACUCCUUUGCAUAUUAUCUCACUUCCCAUCUUAUAAUCAUAUUCACAUCUUCUACCACUCCUCCCAAACUCUAUUUUUUUUACAUUUCCCAAGGUUGAAUUCCAUCUGCCAUGUACCACUCCACUCCCAUAUUUUGUCCAGGUCCCUCUGCAAUGCCUCACAGUCCUUCACAUCAUUGACUCGUCUCAAUAGCUUUGCAUCAUCUGCAAACAAACUCACAUGGCUGGUCACUCCCUCCACCAUAUCAUUUAUACAAACAGCAAACAUUAUUGGUGCCAGCACUGAACCUUGUGGGACCCCACUCCUCACUGGGCACCAGUUGGAAGCCUUGUCCCUGAUUAUUGUCCUCAUUUCCCUGUUAGUUAGGAAGUCCUCCAGCCAGUCCAUCACCCACUCCACCCCUAUUUUUAAUUUUCCAAAUUAAUCUUCUGUGCGGUACUUUGUCGAAUGCCUUUUUCAAAUUCAGGUACACUCCAUCCCCCAGCCUUCUCUCUCUUGUAUUAAAUCUGUCACCCUUGAGUAAUAACAUAACGAGUUGGUGACACAAGAUCUCCCUCUCCUGAAUCCAAACUGGCAAUCCGAGAUAAUUCUCUCCCUUUCUAAAAAAUCCAACCACCUGUUUUUAAGUAGCCUCUCACAUAUCUUCGCAGCCACACUAGUGAGUGAUACCGCUCUGUAA